rnacentral:lncRNA from 1 species
CCCUCAUUUGGUAUAGUAAUAGAGGCAUAUAGGUUUUGGUUUCUAUUGCAGGAUUUCAGUCGUAAAUAAGAGAGAACAUUCUGACAAAGGUUAUGGAAUGAUAACUUGGAUAACAAACAGAACCUUAGAAUCAUUUGCCUAGCAAGUUCUAAAAGUGUGCUUUUAAAAAUUAUUUUAAAGAGUCAGCCAGGAUAGUCAAGGUAGGUAUCAAAAUCAUAAUAAAUAGCAUUUCCAAGUUUCAUCAAGUUCACUACUAUAAUUAGGUGCAUCGUCUCUAAGACUUCUGUUUUUAAAAGUGACAGAGUAGCUUGUAUCAAACCAACUCACUGACCAAGAAAACCUGUAAAAGCUGGAUAGAAAACAACAAAAAUGACAACACAACAUCCAUGGUUGUUGCAAACAUUAGCCAUCAAAAAAGACAGCCCAACUUGAGAGGUCAGUAACACUAGGAGAAGAAAAAUGUAUUGAGGUGGGUGGGCACAUUUUUCAUCGCUUCUUUCUCUCCAGAACAGUAACAACCUGGAGCUUUAAGCAGUCCCACACGGUUAUGGAAACAAAAACUCCAAUUAAGAGCUAUCAAAGCAGGCAAAUCCUGGAGAACAAAGGAGCCACAGAGAAAGUCUUUCUUGGAAUCUAACGGAUACCCCCGACGAAUCUACUGCCACCAUUAGCAUCACUACUACACCUGCAGGCCUUCAAAGAUGCACCUCAGCUCCAAGCAGAGUAAAAGAGGCUGGCUCACAGGAAAGAGAAAUCAAUGGAGGAGGCGGGAGAGUGAGGAAGGGAAAACACCUACCACUUCUAUAUGAUAAGCAGAGGAAGUAAGGAGGAUGAGGUUGCUGGACAUAGGAAAAACCCAUUUACAGAAGAGAAUGGAACAUAUAUGCAAAGAGAAUGAAAAAUAAAUGGAUAGAGAGAAGAGAGAGGGGGAAAAAGAGAAAGGAAAAAGAGAAAAUCUCCUGACAGCACUAA